CCUACGGGAGGCAGCAGUGAGGAAUAUUGGUCAAUGGCCGGAAGGCUGAACCAGCCAAGCCGCGUGAGGGAGGAAGGCGCAGAGCGUCGCAGACCUCUUUUGCCGGGGGACAAAAGGCCGGACUCGUCCGGUCCUGAGGGUACCCGGAGAAAAAGCAUCGGCUAACUCCGUGCCAGCAGCCGCGGUAAUACGGAGGAUGCGAGCGUUAUCCGGAUUUAUUGGGUUUAAAGGGAGCGUAGGCGGGUUGUUAAGUCAGUUGUGAAAGUUUGCGGCUCAACCGUAAAAUUGCAGUUGAUACUGGCAUCCUUGAGUACAGUAGAGGUAGGCGGAAUUCGUGGUGUAGCGGUGAAAUGCUUAGAUAUCACGAAGAACUCCGAUUGCGAAGGCAGCCUGCUGGACUGUAACUGACGCUGAUGCUCGAAAGUGUGGGUAUCAAACAGGAUUAGAUACCCUUGUAGUC
rnacentral:rRNA from 1 species